GAUAACAAGUGUGAACAGGUCAAUCAGUUCUGCAAACCCCAUAUAUCCAUGAUCUGAUAAGCUGAACCUGAGAUCAAAUAUCACACUGAUUAUUGAUUGCAGAAAGCUAAGUAUCAACCAUGCCCGAAUAAUGAGCGGAUGCUUUGCAGAUUUUGUCUUCUGUAGACUGAAUACUGCUAGUGACAAUAUUACCCAGGAGAGCACCUGUAUGCCUUCACCCAGAACAAAAGGAGUUGUGGUCUUCAACCUCUGCCUGCACCAUCUGAUUCUCUUGAACAGAUACUGAGCCACGAUGCUCGUGAUAAAUACAAGUUGUAUCAAUACAAAAGUGCUAGUCCAGAAACAAGGGGAAUAUACUUCUGGCCAUUGUCGCAGAAUCCAUUGGUUUGCAGGCCCAGAAAAGCAAUACCAAAGGAGCGGGGGCUGAGGAAAGCCAUGCAGUGCAAUCGGACUCGAGGAGAGGAGGAGAAUCGGACGCAUGGAUGGAUGAACCCGCCGUGUGCAUGCAGGCGGGAUGGGGAAUGGAUCAAGACUUACUUGGC